GGCUCCCCGGAGCCCUUGGCGGGGCUGGUACUCGGGCUGAGCCCGGAGCACACGGUGAGGACGGCCAUCCUACUGUGGCCCACUGCCUCCGCUGCCCGCAGCCGAGGUGGAGCGAGGGGUCCGACCAGGGGUCGGGGGCGCGGCAGCCAAAACUAGGUGGGAAGCCCUGAGUUGGAGCAGUCUAAGUUGGACACGACUGAGCGCUGAGGGACUGAACUGAAUUGAAGACACCUUAAGGACCCCCAGGCCUCCGCCCCACCAAGGAUGUGGAACAACUUCAAGACCGAGAGGGAUUCAGAAACUGAGAACACGGGGCCAGAAGCGUCUCUGCUGGAGGAAUCGGGCGCACUGUCCAGCUUCUUCAUCAGCUCCGAGACCAGGAUGUCCUAGAAGCAGAGAGACAACGGUGCUGGGCCAGGCGCCGGGGCGGGGCGGGGCGGGGCGAGGCAGGCGGGGGGGCGGGGCCAGGGCGUUACCGUCACGCCUUCCGCCUCGCAGUACGCCUGCAGGGGGCUCUUCCCGUCCACGAAGGGCGUGUGGUGGAAGGUGAUGGCGGGCGACUUCCUCUCCCUCUCCUAAGACAGACAGCAGAAGGCUGGGCACACGGGGGUCCCCUCCCUCCUGGGAGGGCAAUGCGGGCCCCCCCCCGGGGACACCGUGAGAAUACGAAGUCCACUGAACACACUUAACGUGGUCUUUGUGAAAAUGAGACCCUGGCUGCCGUAGCAGUGGUCACGCCCUUCGGACCUGCCCAGGGGAGCCUGAGUGGACGCUGACGGGAGCAAGUGGAGACCUCCGAGCCCAGAUGGCCCCUGGGGACUGGCUCCCGCCCGGGAGUCCUGUCGUCUGAUGCCCCGAGGGACGGGGACAAAGGGAGGGCCGGGAGCUGUGUGUGGACGCUCCCGCUCUGCUUUGUGUUUUCCUCCAAGUGACACGGCAGGACUCACAGCCUGGGUGGCACGGCUCGGGACAGCUCCCUGCCACGCCCACCGCUGCCCCUGCCCCCCACCCCUGCCCCCCACCCCUGCCCCCGCCUCCCCACCCCUGCCCCUGCCUCCAACUCCAUCCCCUGCCCCCGCCACC